rnacentral:rRNA from 1 species
GAUGAACGCUAGCGGCAGGCUUAAUACAUGCAAGUCAAGGGGGUAGCAAUACAACCGGCGCACGGGUGAGUAACGCGUACACAACAUACCAUAUACUGGGGUAUAGCUUUGGGAAACUGAAGGUAAUCCCCCAUAACAUUGCGAGAGGGCAUCUGAUUGCAAUUAAAGUUUCGGCGGUAUAUGAUUGGUGUGCGUUUGAUUAGCUAGUUGGUAGGGUAACGGCCUACCAAGGCGACGAUCAAUAGCUGGCGUGAGAGCGCGACCAGCCACACUGGAACUGAGACACGGUCCAGACUCCUACGGGAGGCAGCAGCAGGGAAUAUUGGACAAUGGGCGCAAGCCUGAUCCAGCCAUGCCGCGUGAUAGAUGAAGGCCCUCUGGGUUGUAAAUAUCUUUUAUCUGGGAAGAAACUCCUCUAUUCUUAGAGGCCUGACGGUACCAGAGGAAUAAGCAACCGGCUAACUCCGUGCCAGCAGCCGCGGUAAU